rnacentral:rRNA from 1 species
GAUGAACGCUGGCGGCGUGCCUAAUACAUGCAAGUCGAGCGAACAGACAAGGAGCUUGCUCCUCUGACGUUAGCGGCGGACGGGUGAGUAACAAGUGGAUAACCUACCUAUCAUACUGGGAUAACUUCGGGAAACCGGAGCUAAUACCGGAUAAUAUAUUUAACCGCAUGGUUCAUUAGUGAAAGACGGUUUUGCUGUCUCUUCUAGAUGGAUCCGAGCCGCAUUAGCUAGUUGGUAAGGUAACGGCUUACCAAGGCAACGAUGCGUAGCCGACCUGAGAGGGUGAUCGGCCACACUGGAACUUAGACACGGUCCAGACGCCUACGGGAGGCAGCAGUAGGGAAUCUUCCGCAAUGGGCGAAAGCCUGACAAAGCAACGCCGCUUGAGUGAGGAAGAUCUUCGGAUCGUAAAACUCUGUUAUUAGGGAAGAACAAAUGUGUAAGUAACGAAGCACGUCUUGACGGUACCUAGUCAGAAAGCAACGGCUAACUACGUG